rnacentral:sRNA from 1 species
CCUCUGUGCUUUCUAUAUAGUGGUAUUCCAGCUGCCAAUGUGUGGAACUAUACCUCAUAGAUGUACGUAUUUCCUGCUAUAUGGGACUAGGAUAUUGAGCUCCAACUUGUCAACGUCUGACACCAGCAUAUCACCGUUAAAACUUGGAUGUGUGUUAUGUACGAUUGUCUUGACUCCUUCCCUAGCUGGCACAAGUAGAUUUCUCCAUGUCUAAAAGUCAGUAUUCCCUCUGUAAAAAUCCUGCAAGGAAUUUGAUCGCUACUAAACCUUGAACCAGUGAUAUUUAUUUGGUAGGUGAGAGAAAGAAAGAGAAUUUCCACCUGGAAUUUUUACCUGUCUCAUCCCCUGACCAGGUUAAUCUCCAGCCACAGGUGACCAGUGGGUGGGUUACACUCGUUUUGAAAAUGAUCAUUGAUUUUCUGAUGGAAUGACAAGUUUGCAGUAUUUUUUUCAUUCAGCAAUGGAGCCACUUGUUUUGCUUUCAUAAUCUUAGCAGGGAGGAGCUGUUCAUAAAUGUGAAUUAGAAUGGUGACUUGCAGAUCUGUUAGUGUGUAUGUGUGAAUUACGAGAAAUUACCUUUAUUUUUGAGACAUACACUACUUUUCUGUAUUAUUUCUAUUUUUACAAUGGAUUUUAAAGAGUCCCAUAUGAAGUCAUUGGUAUGUAUUGAUUUAUUGUAACAUUAACAAACAUUCCUCUCUUUUCUGUCAUUUUGUGACUACCUGUAAUAGAAAGGUGACUUCAAAGACAAUUUUGGUGCUCAGAAAUUAUAUUUUUAAAUAUAACGUGCUAUUGAUACCUGGUUAAGGAGUUUAUUUGCCAUUCUUUUCUUUUAUUUUUGUUCUUGUAAUCAUAAGAAAUAUGCACAUUAUAUGUAGAACACAAUUUGGUAUUAAAAGUGCAUUA